rnacentral:lncRNA from 1 species
ACUAUUCCUCAGAAAUGCCAGUACAAGUCUGGCCCAGAUUCAAAGAAGCCUUAGGCAAGGGUGCAGAGAAAGAAAGGAUAGGGAAGAAAGCCUUUUCCCUGUGUCAUUUAGGUCUGCAUGGAGGGUUGGGGGAGCUGGAGGAAAGAAAGAGCAAGGUAUACAAGGACCUCAAUGGUCAAGUGACUCCUCCGACAGCAAGGGGCGGAGCCUCAUGAGCACAUCUUGUGGAGUUUCAGUGCUCUUACAGCGUUUUCCAUCAGGCGGUCUCAAACCAGGCGGAGCCUCUGUGUAUGCGUGGGUCAUCGCGGGUCAUCAUGGGUCAUUGUGGAUUACAGUGGGUUAUCAUGCCUUUUCAACCUUAAAUCUCGGGCCUUCCCAGAGGUGAAUCAUGGACAGCAAUGGCUCUGGGCAGGCAGUGUGCUCAAAGGAACCUGAGUUCCACUUCAGCUUUCUUCAUUCAUUCAUGAAUUCAGUUGUCAGUUUGUACUCAGUGCCUGAUGUUGGGCUUCUGUUUAAAUCCCAGUUCACUUCUUAAAACUUCAAUUUAUGGUCUGCGUUACACAGGUAGCUGCGUCCGGGCUAGAGAGAUGGCUCCGCGGUUAAGGGCACUGGCUGCUCUUGUAGUUCAAUUCCCCACACCAACAACAUAGCUGCAACCAUCUGUAACUCCAGUUCCAGGAAGUCCAACACUCUCUUCUGGCCUCCACGGGUACUGCAUACGUGUGUCAUAAAGACAAAAACAUAGGCAAAACAUAUACACACAUGAAAUAAAAUGAAAAAAAUAGCA